GACGUAGGGUGCGAGCGUUUGUCCGGAUUUAUUGGGCGUAAAGAGCUCGUAGGCGGCUUGUUGCGUCGACUGUGAAAACCCGCGGCUUAACCGCGGGCUUGCAGUUGAUACGGGCAGGCUAGAGUUCGGUAGGGGAGACUGGAAUUCCUGGUGUAGCGGUGAAAUGCGCAGAUAUCAGGAGGAACACCGGUGGCGAAGGCGGGUCUCUGGGCCGAUACUGACGCUGAGGAGCGAAAGCGUGGGGAGCGAACAGG
rnacentral:rRNA from 1 species